AGCAGCAGCCGCGGGAAUACAGAGGGUGCGAGCGUUAAUCGGAUUUACUGGGCGUAAAGCGUGCGUAGGCGGCUAAUUGAGUCGGAUGUGAAAUCCCCGAGCUUAACUUGGGAAUUGCAUUCGAUACUGGUUAGCUAGAGUGUGGGAGAGGAUGGUAGAAUUCCAGGUGUAGCGGUGAAAUGCGUAGAGAUCUGGAGGAAUACCGAUGGCGAAGGCAGCCAUCUGGCCUAACACUGACGCUGAGGUACGAAAGCAUGGGGAGCAAACAGGAUUAGAGACCCGCGUAGUCCCUGUCUCUUAUAC
rnacentral:rRNA from 1 species